rnacentral:rRNA from 1 species
GACGAACGCUGGCGGCGUGCUUAACACAUGCAAGUCGAACGGAAAGGCCCUGCUUUUGUGGGGUGCUCGAGUGGCGAACGGGUGAGUAACACGUGAGUAACCUGCCCUUGACUUUGGGAUAACUUCAGGAAACUGGGGCUAAUACCGGAUAGGAGCUCCUGCUGCAUGGUGGGGGUUGGAAAGUUUCGGCGGUUGGGGAUGGACUCGCGGCUUAUCAGCUUGUUGGUGGGGUAGUGGCUUACCAAGGCUUUGACGGGUAGCCGGCCUGAGAGGGUGACCGGCCACAAUGGGACUGAGAUACGGCGCAGACUGCAACGGGAGGCAGCAGUGGGGAAUAUUGCACAAUGGGCGGAAGCCUGAUGCAGCAACGCCGCGUGCGGGAUGACGGCCUUCGGGUUGUAAACAGAUUUCGCCUGUGACGAAGCGUGAGUGACGGUAAUGGGUAAAGAAGCACCGGCUAACUACGUG